rnacentral:rRNA from 1 species
AGUGAACGCUGGCGGUAGGCCUAACACAUGCAAGUCGAACGGCAGCACAGUAAGAGCUUGCUCUUACGGGUAGCGAGUGGCGGACGGGUGAGGAAUACAUCGGAAUCUACUUUUUCGUGGGGGAUAACGUAGGGAAACUUACGCUAAUACCGCAUACGACCUACGGGUGAAAGCAGGGGAUCUUCGGACCUUGCGCGAUUGAAUGAGCCGAUGUCGGAUUAGCUAAUUGGCGGGGUAAAGGCCCACCAAGGCGACGAUCCGUAGCUGGUCUGAGAGGAUGAUCAGCCACACUGGAACUGAGACACGGUCCAGACUCCUACGGGAGGCAGCAGUGGGGAAUAUUGGACAAUGGGCGCAAGCCUGAUCCAGCCAUACCGCGUGGGUGAAGAAGGCCCUCGGGUUGUAAAGCCCUUUUGUUGGGAAAGAAAAGCAGCAGGUUAAUACCCCGCUGUUCUGACGGUACCCAAAGAAUAAGCACCGGCUAACUUCGUG